UAACUGGAGGGGAAGUGGGGAUGACGUCAAAUCAUCAUGCCCCUUAUGACCUGGGCUACACACGUGCUACAAUGGGCAGAACAAAGGGCAGCGAAGCCGCGAGGCUAAGCCAAUCCCACAAAUCUGUUCUCAGUUCGGAUCGCAGUCUGCAACUCGACUGCGUGAAGCUGGAAUCGCUAGUAAUCGCGGAUCAGCAUGCCGCGGUGAAUACGUUCCCGGGCCUUGUACACACCGCCCGUCACACCACGAGAGUUUGUAACACCCGAAGUCGGUGAGGUAACCUUUUGGAGCCAGCCGCCGAAGGUGGGACAGAUGAUUGGGGUGAAGUCGUAACAAGAGCCU
rnacentral:rRNA from 1 species